rnacentral:rRNA from 1 species
AGUGAACGCUGGCGGUAGGCCUAACACAUGCAAGUCGAACGGCAGCACAGGAGAGCUUGCUCUCUAGGUGGCGAGUGGCGGACGGGUGAGGAAUACAUCGGAAUCUGCCCAGUCGUGGGGGAUAACGUAGGGAAACUUACGCUAAUACCGCAUACGACCUUCGGGUGAAAGAGGGGGAUCGCAAGACCUCUCGCGAUUGGAUGAGCCGAUGUCGGAUUAGCUAGUUAGCGGGGUAAUGGCCCACCAAGGCGACGAUCCGUAGCUGGUCUGAGAGGAUGAUCAGCCACACUGGAACUGAGACACGGUCCAGACUCCUACGGGAGGCAGCAGUGGGGAAUAUUGGACAAUGGGCGCAAUCCUGAUCCAGCCAUACCGCGUGGGUGAAGAAGGCCUUCGGGUUGUAAAGCCCUUUUGUUGGGAAAGAAAUCUUUCAGGCUAAUACCCUGGGAGGAUGACGGUACCCAAAGAAUAAGCACCGGCUAACUUCGUG